rnacentral:rRNA from 1 species
AUUGAACGCUGGCGGCAUGCCUUACACAUGCAAGUCGAACGGCAGCACGGGAGCAAUCCUGGUGGCGAGUGGCGAACGGGUGAGUAAAGUAUCGGAACGUGCCCAGUCGUGGGGGAUAACGUAGCGAAAGUUACGCUAAUACCGCAUACGAUCGAUGGAUGAAACCGGGGGAUCGCAAGACCUCGCGCGAUUGGAGCGGCCGAUAUCAGAUUAGGGAGUUGGUGGGGUAAAGGCUCACCAAGCCGACGAUCUAUAGCUGGUCUGAGAGGACGACCAGCCACACUGGGACUGAGACACGGCCCAGACUCCUACGGGAGGCAGCAGUGGGGAAUUUUGGACAAUGGGCGAAAGCCUGAUCCAGCCAUGCCGCGUGCAGGAUGAAGGCCUUCGGGUUGUAAACUGCUUUUGUACGGAACGAAAAGGUUUGGCCUAAUAAGCUGAGCUCAUGACGGUACCGUAAGAAUAAGCACCGGCUAACUACGUGCCAGCCGCCGCUGUAA